UAUAGAACAGGUUCCUACAAAUAUCCAGCCGCACAGAGGACAGCAGCAAUGCAGCUACUUAGCAUCUGGGUUGUGUGGGGAGUAAUUCUAACAGACAUGAGCCAUGGAGAUUCUGUCGCUCAGUCACCUUCCUCAUAUGUUCAGAAAGAAGGAAAGGCUGUGGCUCUAAAGUGCACCUAUGAUACUACAUCAAGUGGUUAUACAUUACACUGGUAUCGCCAGCACCCGGACACACAGCCCGAAUUUAUUCUGUGGCAAGAUACUGAUGGUGAAGCUGGCAAAGCAAGUUUUGUGCAAGAUCGUUUCUCUAUGCAACUCGAGACCUCGAAGAAAUUGACGAGUUUGGCUAUCACUGGGCUACAGCUGACUGACACUGCCGUGUAUUACUGCGGUUUCAGUGACUACACGGUGAUGAGAAACUCUCUCACCCCAGCACAAAAACUUCCUCGAACCACAGAUAGGGUCUGUGUCCGCUGGGGCUUUAGUGAAUCGUGGGCUGCUGUAGUGUAGACCUCAAACCUCACACUGAGAGGAGAUCAAAUUAACCUCCAAUCAAUCUCUCACGGAAUUGUUUUCCAGAGCUGCUGACAAAAUAAACUGCAGACUCCGAGUGCUCCCAUAGACACAAGACAGCAUCAUAUUUGAAGCCACCUGUUCAAAUCCACACCCUCGACAAUCUGUGGUCCUGUGAUUUGCAGGCAGUAAACUGGGAAAAAGCUGCCCUUUUACAAGUUUGACCUUCUGACAGCUGACAGAGGCAUCCAGAGACACGACCGCAGUUUACUGAGGGUGCGGCUCUGGAAUGAGGGUUUCUGAAGCGGCUGACUUGAAUGAAUUGAGGAAAUGGUGCAUUAAUCCUCUCAUAAUCGAGGUGAUAAUAUAGAACUCUAUCUGCUGAGAAUAUAACAGGGUAACCACUCUCUGUUUCUGUACGUGUGUGUAUGACUAUGUGUGAUUGUUGUUUCUAUGUAUGUGUGUGUAUCAGUGUGGGUCUGAACAAGAAAAGGUUCAAUGUAACUGUGAACCUAUCAGUCCUACUACCACACUGUAUUUUAUAUCAAACUCCUCCUGUUGAUGUUUUUCUGUAUCACUGUCAACUAUCUCGCAUUCAUUGAUCUCCUUUCUCAGUUUCUCUGUGCAAUCUCAUUGCCGUCAUUCUCUCCGCCUGCCGGCGUCUCUCUAUCUUUAAGUUGAGUUUCCCCUUCAUUUUCUGCUUCUUUUAGAUUC